CCAUGCAGCAGAAGAAGGUUUGGGACCAAGGAUAUCUAAGAAACAAAAAGUUGAUAAAAAUGCAGGAAGACAUGGCCAGGGCAAGAAAAAGACAUCUCAUUCAAGGCGACGACAUGCAGGUGUGACUGUUCAAAAGACAAUCGUAGUGCUGGUGCAUGAUGGAAGCAAAAAGCACAUUUGGUUAAAAAUUUGGAUGGAUAUGUUCAACUGUUUUGUUAAUAUGAUUGCUUUUGUAUUGUAUGUUUUUUUUUGUCUGCUUGAAGGGUUUUUAGAACUGCUAUUGAUGUUUUUUAAAUCGCUGUUAAGAUUAUUCUUAGUAGAACACAUGGGGUUGACACAACCAAGGGUUCUUUUGGUGUACUAAAGAUUUUAUUUUUGUGUUGGACAUAGUUCAAAGACAUUUUUUAUGGAAGUUUUUGGAAACUAAUAAUUAUGCCCCCUGAUCGAAAGAUCGAGGGCAUAUUGUUUUUUGCCUGUCUGUCUGUCUGUCAUUCAUAUAUUGUGUGUGUCUCAAACUUAAACUUGGUUAAAGUUUUGCAAUAACUUUUGCAUUAUUGAAGAUAGCAACUUGAUAUUUGGCAUGCAUGUGUAUCUCAUGGAGCUGCACAUUUUGAGUGGUGAAAGGUCAAGGUCAUCCUUCAAAGUCAAAGGUCAAAUGUAUGGCUUCAAAGCGACGCAAUAGGGGGCAUUGUGUUUCUGACAAACACAUCUCUGGUUCUUACUGUACAAUACAUACGAAAAAACUCUUGGGUGUGUUAUGAUAUAUGGUUAUAGAUUAUUUUACUAUAGAACAAAAUCACAUGUGUUCUAAGCAUAUGUUUAUAUUGAUGGACUUUUUAACAAUAGCUAUUUUUAUGCCCCCAGGUAGGGUGGCAUAAAACCGUUGCAUUGUCUGUCCUUCUUUCCAUCUGCCUCUCCGUCAUACUGUUUUCAAGAGGAAUUUUUUGACAACGCUUAUUAAACUGAUCCACCCAAAUUGCCUUCAGAUGAACUGUUAAAUUGUUCCAAACUGAUGAUUUUUUGGAAGAAACUGGCCUGUCACUUAUAUUAAGGGAUGUAAACGCUUUAAAAAGUGAUAAUUUUUAUGUCAAUGGACAGUUAUUGCAUUCAUUGUGUACAUAUUAUUAAUCUUUGUAAUUUGUCAAUGUGCAUAUCACAGUGUGAUUCUAAAUAUUUUGUUUUCGAUUUAGAUUUGCAAGUUGUGAUCGCAUGUUUGUGUUUUAGUGAAUUCAGCAUAAAAUAUUGUCCUAAUUGGUAAUGAAAUGUUUUUUAUUUAUCAUGGUUAAAUCAUCAUCAUUAAUCCUUUCACAUUGUUUGAAAUACGUUAUAUUUAGUACAAACUUAUUUGUAAGCAUUAUCAAUUGAUAAUGAGUUGUUUUGUAAUAAUCUCAUUCGUAUUUAUUAUGCCCCCCUUCGAAGAAGAGGGGGUAUAUUGCUUUGCUCAUGUCGGUCGGUCUGUCCGUCGGUCUGUCGAUCCGUCCACCAGGUGGUUGUCAGACGAUAACUCAAGAACGCUUGGGCCUAGGAUCAUGAAACUUCAUAGGUACAUUGAUCAUGACUCGCAGAUGACCCCUAUUGAUUUUGAGGUCACUAGGUCAAAGGUCAAGGUCAUGGUGACCCGAAAUAGUGAAAUG